rnacentral:lncRNA from 1 species
UGAUAAUCAACUCUAGUAAAAGAAUGUCCAAAUCAAUUGAGCUUUAGCAAGGGCAAACUGACUGGACACAGCCAGACUCCCAGCAAAACUGUCAGCAAUUGAAUCCCCUUAGAUAUGGAAGAAGUUCAGAUUUCCUGAUCCUAAAUUCACUCUCCUUUUGGACACAUGCAGGCAAAAUGUGGGACAAGAACUCUUGGGGGCUCCCAGUCACCAGCAAUAUGAAGGAUUUGAUAUAAGUAGCCCGUAAUAGCUGCUCUGGACAACCUUCUUCUCAUGUUCAAGAAGCAAAAACAGCAGGAGGUUUUCAGAAGCGUGAAGAAAUCAGUCUCUACCUGUCCCAGACUGAGAUGUAAUGUGGCUGUAGACUGUAACUGUUUACAGAAGUGGGAGCCUUCAAUAGCUGCCUCUUCAUUGCCUGGUUUGGAGACUGACUCAGAAAAUAAGACAUUAAGCUUUAAAGCUAGCUGAAAAAUAAAGGGUGGAGAUGUGAAAAAUGUCA